rnacentral:lncRNA from 1 species
UUGCAGAAAAAAUAUUUGAAUACUAAUACAAAUAGAAAUUACUAUCAAAAAAGUAAAAAGAAAUACAGAUACGAUGAGUCUGAAGAAACCAGUUCUUAUAACAGAGCAGACAAAGACAUACUGGGAAAUAUUUUGAAGGCUAUACAAAAUAAUGACCGAAAUCGAGAGGAUAAUGAGUAAGUAUAUCAUAG